rnacentral:rRNA from 1 species
UACGGAGGGGACUAGCGUUGUUCGGAAUUACUGGGCGUAAAGCGCACGUAGGCGGAUUUGUAAGUCAGGGGUGAAAUCCCGGGGCUCAACCUCGGAACUGCCUUUGAUACUGCAAAUCUCGAGUCCGGAAGAGGUGAGUGGAAUUCCUAGUGUAGAGGUGAAAUUCGUAGAUAUUAGGAAGAACACUAGUGGCGAAGGCGGCUCACUGGUCCGGUACUGACGCUGAGGUGCGAAAGCGUGGGGAGCAAACAGG